AGAAUUCUGAAAUCUACAAGUUGACUUUGGAUCAAUACAAUGAGGCAGUCACCAAUGCAGAAGAUCAAAUCAGGCGGAGGAACACACAACCUAUAUGUGCAAACCUGCAGGAAGCCAUUCUGAUGUGCUAUAAUGAAAAUAAGCAGCAAGUGCUGAACUGCUCAGAGCUAGUCAAGGAGUAUCAGCGUUGUGUUAGGCUAGCACAAAAGUGAAGAAUCAUAGUAUUAUGGAGUUGGAAGGCACUGCAAAGAUCAUUGAGUCCAAUCUGCAAUGUGGAGUAAAGCCAAAUACACUGUACUCAAGAGGUGCCUGUCCAGCAGAUAAACCUGUCAAUAUGGAAAACCCACAACUUUCAUGGAAACUGAUCUCCAUCAGCCAUCAUGUCAAGCCCUUGUUGGAAAAGCCAGGAAGCAAGUAAAACAUGGAUUUUAGGAAGGUAUUUUUAAU